rnacentral:rRNA from 1 species
GAAUAUUGGACAAUGGGGGCAACCCUGAUCCAGCCAUGCCGCGUGUGUGAAGAAGGCCUUUUGGUUGUAAAGCACUUUAAGCAGUGAAGAAGACUCCAUGGUUAAUACCCAUGGACGAUGACAUUAGCUGCAGAAUAAGCACCGGCUAACUCUGUGCCAGCAGCCGCGGUAAUACACAGGGUGCCAGCGUUAAUCGGAAUUACUGGGCGUAAAACGAGGGGAGGUGGGUUUAUAAGGCAGGUGUGAAAACCCCGGGCCUAACCUGGGAACUGCAUCUGAUACUGUUAGGCUAGAAUAGGUGAGAGGAAGGUAGAAUUCCAGGUGUAGCGGGGAAAUGCGUAGAGAUCUGGAGGAAUACCGAUGGCGAAGGCAGCCUUCUGGCAUCAUAUUGACACUGAGGUUCGAAAGCGUGGGUAGCAAAC